CCCCGAUUCUAUCCACUUUACCUUCGAGACACUCUCCGAGACACGUUUGUUCAACUUCGAAACCCUGAAACGUUUCGCUUGUAUUCGCUUCCAAACACCACCGAUCACCUCUUCUUCUUCGACCCAAACAUUCGCCAAGGCUCCCAGGCCAUGCUUGAUCAUCUCAGAAGCACGAGGUUUCGAUGCCGCACAGCUUGGAUUGCUUUAAUUUGGGCCUGAGAUUGUAUUAAACGUUCAGUCUUGGCAGAGUAGUUACGAGCUAGCAAGUGAUCAAGAGGCUUUGAAGAAAUUGGUGGAAGUAUUUCAGAAAUCUCACGAGCAGAAUAAUCCUCCCACAUAUCUGUGUUUGGCUGAAGGAUAUGUUGAUGUAUACCAUACAUCAAGGUAAUUUCAGUAUCUGUUUCAUUCCCCCGUACGAGGUAAUGGAGGUAUGUAUCCAUAUAUGUAGACGGCAGAGCAAAUUUUUCCGAAUUCAUCCAUACCUUCUGACAAAUUAUGAAAUAUAAGUAAUACCCGAAACUGUUAAGGAUGUAAUGGAAGAGGAUUUGUACAUCUUAUGGGUCAUUUAAGCAUAAAUACUACAUUUUUCUCAAACGAAAAAAGCAUACGUGAAUGUAAAUUGGCUUUAUCACUCUUCAUUAAAUUAAAUGCUUUGUCAAUUUCCAGUUGUAUACAAUUGCUCUAACUUCUACUGUCAACCUCAGGUUCCAUGUCUAUUAUCAAUGACGCUUUUGAAUGGUUCUCAUGGUUUUCAGCAGCGUAUAUGUUAGAAGCAAGUGUCAUUGGUACAAGAAGUUUAAACAUAUCUGCGAUCAAAUCUUUGGUUAAUGACCAAAUACUUGGUAUUAAUUUCAGAGUCAGUCCUGAUGCCUAACCCCUUAUAUAUCCUUUGACACCUAGUAGGCUCCAGAGCCUAUAUGGGGAUGGCUGCAAGCUGGUUCCUUAUUUUCUUUAGCUUUAAAAUCUACAGAGGUCUUGUGAUCUUUUGCAGUUGACAUUCUGAGUGCUGGGAGACAAGUAGCUGUGGACUCAAAAAGUUUCACGCCUCAACAUUUUAUUAAGCAAGUGAAGGGCCCUAAUUUAGUACCCAGUACUUACUGUGCCCAAGUGAAAGCAUUGUCCAAGGCUUGCAAUGAUCCCCCAACAAAAGGCUUUGGAGGUGUUGGAUCACAUGCAAUCCACCAUCCAACUGGUAUCCUCACAGCAGUCAAGCCGUUGGAUGACAUGAAUCUGAAAUCCUCUUCGGUGAUGACUUGAGGGGCUUUAUCCGGACCAUAACCAUUUGCUAUUUGGUAUUCACCUUGUAAUGAGCCCACUAUUGUCAUAGUAAACACGGAUGGAUCACUGUCAUCCCAACCCGAGCCUCCAUAAUCUGCAGUCAGUAUCGUA